CAUGGCUCAGGAUGAACGCUAGCUACAGGCUUAACACAUGCAAGUCGAGGGGCAGCAUGUUGGUUGCUUGCAACCAAUGAUGGCGACCGGCGCACGGGUGAGUAACGCGUAUCCAACCUACCCAAUACUCAGGCAUAACCCGUUGAAAGACGGACUAAUUCCUGAUGGUAUGUAUUUUUCUCAUGAAUUAUACAUUAAAGAAUUUCGGUAUUGGAUGGGGAUGCGUCUGAUUAGUUUGUUGGUGAGGUAACGGCUCACCAAGACUUCGAUCAGUAGGGGUUCUGAGAGGAAGGUCCCCCACAUUGGAACUGAGACACGGUCCAAACUCCUACGG
rnacentral:rRNA from 1 species